rnacentral:rRNA from 1 species
UACGGAGGGUGCAAGCGUUGUUCGGAAUUACUGGGCGUAAAGCGCGUGUAGGCGGUUGCCUAAGUCUGACGUGAAAGCCCGGGGCUUACCUCCGGAAGUGCGUUGGAAACUGGGCGACUCGAGUGCCGGAGAGGAGGGUGGAAUUCCUGGUGUAGCGGUGAAAUGCGUAGAUAUCAGGAGGAACACCGGUGGCGAAGGCGGCCCUCUGGACGGAUACUGACGCUGAGACGCGAAAGCGUGGGGAGCAAACAGG